UACGGAGGGUGCAAGCGUUAUCCGGAUUCACUGGGUUAAAGGGUGCGUAGGUGGGUCUGUAAGUCAGUGGUGAAAUCUCCAAGCUUAACUUGGAAACUGCCAUUGAUACUAUAGGUCUUGAAUAUCCUGGAGGUGAGCGGAAUAUGUCAUGUAGCGGUGAAAUUGCUUAGAUAUGACAUAGAACACCAAUUGCGAAGGCAGCUCACUACGGGAUUAUUGACACUGAGCACGAAAGCGUGGGGAUCAAACAGG
rnacentral:rRNA from 1 species